CAAAGUUGUAUUUGAUUGAGUCUUGAAGGUGAUAAAAGUCAUUAUGGGAAUAUAGGGUAUUGAGGACUUUUUUCAUACACAGAGGAGGCAGUAAGAGCAGAUGCUUGGAAUGAAGCCAAAUAAAUGUGGCUAUUUGCAGGACAACAAAUGGUUUGGGGUGCUUGAGUAUCAGAAAGUUGUUGGAGGUGUUUAAGCAGGGCAAUGGUGUGCUCAAAUUGUCUUUUAGUUAGACAGUCAUAGGGGGUUUGUAGAUUCUGAAUUAUAUUCAAGGAGACCCAAUGGAAGACUCCAGCAAUAGUCCAGCUGAGAGUCAAGAAAUGGGAACCAUGGUUAAUUAUCAUGGCAGGGUAUUGAGUAUUACUAUUAAAUGAGAUAUGUAUUCCAGGAGGAAAUGCUUAAUACAUGUAUUAUAUUUAUCAGAAUUGUAUGUGCCAGGGAAUAAAUGAGAAAUUGCCUAACGGGUACAAUGUACAUUAUUAAGGUGGUGGAUACUCUAAAGUCCUUGACCAGCAUGUAAUCUAUGCACGUAACACAAUUGCACUUGUACCUCAUAAACUUAUAGAAAAAAACUCAUAAAUUUAUAGAAAAAAUGCAUGUGUCUAUGCUGAGUUUGAGUGUCUCCAGAGAUACAGCCAGAUAUACCUGGUAGACAGUUGGAAAUAUGUACCUGGGAAUCAGAAAAUAGGAAAGAGACAUAAAGUUGGAAGGGAUUGGCAAAUGAGUUGGAGUUGGAUUUACGGAAGCAAAUGGUCAUACAGGAGAGGGUAUAGAAAAGCAUUUGUGGACUUGGAGUCUAACACUGUGUCUGGCAUAAAGUGAACACUCAAGUAGUGUUUGUCGAAUGGAUGGCUAACUGAGUGAGGGAACAGAUGAAUGUCUGCCAUUCCCUCCUGGAAGGUACCCUAUGACUCCCUGCUCCCUGGAGUUCUCUCAUUUCUCUGUUUUUUUUUUUUUUUUUUUUUUUUUUUUUUUUUUUGUCAUGCAGCUUUCUCUACCUGUUUGUUCUCUUUGUAUGGAUGUGCUCCAGCUCUUUAUCCACCAAGACAAAUAAAGCAGGACCCCUUAGCUCAAAGCCUUCACAAUGUAAUAGGGAGCUAAUUAAUAAAGCUCCAAGGAAGUCAAGUAAGGUGAGGAAUAAAGAGUGCUCAGUGAAAUUGACAGUUAGAAAUUCAAUGGAAGUCUUAGAACAGUUUCAAUAGAAAGUAGUUCAGGAGCAGAAAACCAAACUGCAAACUGCUGUGGGUUGAAGAAAAAAUGGGUGCAGUGAAGAAGAACAGAUAGGAAUGAAUUCAGGAAGUUUAGCAGCAAUAAGAUGGAAGGAUAUAGAGCUUUAUCUGGAAGGGGAGGCAGUAUUAAAAAUUGUUUUACUUGAGAGAGGACAGAGUGGGGGAUAGGGAUAUGGAAAAGGUGAGUGCUCUUCAGUCCAAGAACCCAGGAAAGCAUGAACAACACUCUCUUUUCCCUCAAUGAACUAACUGUUUAUUAUAGAAAACACACGCAAAUUGAUCAGAAAAGUACAGUCUGAUGGAUGCCAAGAGCAGCCUAGAACAUGAAGAGCUGGAGGGUCUGGGAAGCCUUCCUGAACAAAAUGAUCUAAUAUCCAAGUUUAUCCAUUCUCCAAGAGAAAUAAGAGCUCUUCAUGCCAAGACCAGGGAAAAGGGCACACCAGGUAAAGGAAAUAACAGAAACCAGGCAGAGAAAUAUUGCAAACAUGAGCAUUGCAAGACAUUUGUCAGAUGUUUUCUCCCAGUCUGUAGAAUGAAUUUUCAUCUAAUUAACAGUGUCUUCUGAAAAGCAAGUUCUUAAUUUUUCUACAAUCCAAUUUAAUAAAUUUCAUUUUCUUUCCUAAGGAAGCUUUGUUUAACACAGGUCCUGUGUUUUCUUCUAUUAGUUUUAUGGUUUUUGCUUAAAUGCAGAUCUGUGCUCUGCUAAUUUUUGUAUGCAGUAUGAAGUAAGGGUUUACUUUGCAAAUGGAUAUCCAAUAGUUCUAGCAGAAUACAUUGAAAAACUAUCAUGUUCCCACUGAAUUACCUUGGCAUCUUUAUUGAAAAUCAAUUGACCAUGUAUAUUUGGGUUUAUUUCUGGACUUCAGUUUGAUUGGUCUAUAAAUCCUUACAUCAAUAGCAUGUGGUUUUCUUUAUUGUAGCUUUAGAGUAAGUCUUAAAAUCAAAUGGUAUAAUUCUUCCAACUUUAUUCUUUUCCAAAGUGUUUUGGUCCUUUGCAUUUUCAUAAAAACUUUUAAAAUAAACUUUUUUUAUUUUCAACAAGAAAGCCUAAGAUUUUUAUUGACAUUUCAUUGACUCAGUAGAUCAUUGUGGGCAAAAUGACAUCUUAAUUAUAGAGGCCCCCAUACAAUGAACACGGCAUGUCUGUAUUUAUCUUGGUCUUCUUCAGUUUCUUUCAGCAUUGUUUUGUAAUUUUUAGUGCACAAGUCUUGUAUAUAUUCUGUGGAAUUUAUUCCUGUUUCAUAUUGUUGAUGUUAUUAUAAAUGAUGUAUUUUUCAAUAUCUAAUUGUCAUAGUAUAUAGAAAUGUAAUUAUUUUUGUAUACUGACCUUAUAUUCUAUAGUCUCUCUUAACUAAUUUAUUAGCCCUAGUAGCUUUCUCCCCCUAGACUCUGAAAAAGAACUUACAUUCAGAAUAUAUUAAGAACUUAUAUAACUCAGUAAUACGUGGACAAACAACCCAAUUUUUAAAAGGUCUCUCUGCUCGUAUUUGCUUGGUGCUCCGAAA
rnacentral:lncRNA from 1 species